rnacentral:pre_miRNA from 4 species
ACGGCUGCCAGCGUCAUUUUUGUGAUCUGCAGCUAGUAUUCUCACUCCAGUUGCAUAGUCACAAAAGUGAUCACUGGCAGGUGUGGCCGCUGCA